UACGUAGGGUGCGAGCGUUGUCCGGAAUUAUUGGGCGUAAAGAGCUCGUAGGCGGUUUGUCGCGUCUGCUGUGAAAACCUAAGGCUCAACCUCGGGCCUGCAGUGGGUACGGGCAGACUAGAGUGCGGUAGGGGAGAUUGGAAUUCCUGGUGUAGCGGUGGAAUGCGCAGAUAUCAGGAGGAACACCGAUGGCGAAGGCAGAUCUCUGGGCCGUAACUGACGCUGAGGAGCGAAAGCAUGGGGAGCGAACAGG
rnacentral:rRNA from 1 species